rnacentral:rRNA from 1 species
UACGUAGGGCGCAAGCGUUGUCCGGAAUUAUUGGGCGUAAAGAGCUCGUAGGCGGUUUGUCGCGUCUGCUGUGAAAACCUAAGGCUCAACCUUGGGCCUGCAGUGGGUACGGGCAGACUAGAGUGCGGUAGGGGUGACUGGAAUUCCUGGUGUAGCGGUGGAAUGCGCAGAUAUCAGGAGGAACACCGAUGGCGAAGGCAGGUCACUGGGCCGCAACUGACGCUGAG